rnacentral:rRNA from 1 species
UACGUAGGGUGCAAGCGUUGUCCGGAAUUAUUGGGCGUAAAGAGCUCGUAGGCGGUCUGUCGCGUCUGCUGUGAAAACUCAGGGCUUAACCCUGAGCUUGCAGUGGGUACGGGCAGACUAGAGUGCGGUAGGGAGACUGGAAUUCCGUGGUGUAGACGGUGAAAUGCGCAGAUAGUCAGGAGGAACACCGGUGGCCGAAGGCGGCUUC